rnacentral:rRNA from 1 species
UACGUAGGGUGCGAGCGUUGUCCGGAAUUACUGGGCGUAAAGAGCUCGUAGGUGGUUUGUCGCGUUGUUCGUGAAAACUCACAGCUUAACUGUGGGCGUGCGGGCGAUACGGGCAGACUGGAGUACUGCAGGGGAGACUGGAAUUCCUGGUGUAGCGGUGGAAUGCGCAGAUAUCAGGAGGAACACCGGUGGCGAAGGCGGGUCUCUGGGCAGUAACUGACGCUGAGGAGCGAAAGCGUGGGGAGCAAACAGGA